AAAUUGAAGAGUUUGAUCAUGGCUCAGAUUGAACGCUGGCGGCAGGCCUAACACAUGCAAGUCGAACGGUAACAGGAAGCAGCUUGCUGCUUUGCUGACGAGUGGCGGACGGGUGAGUAAUGUCUGGGAAACUGCCUGGUGGAGGGGGAUAACUACUGGAAACGGUAGCUAAUACCGCAUAACGUCGCAAGACCAAAGAGGGGGACCUUCGGGCCUCUUGCCAUCGGAUGUGCCCAGAUGGGAUUAGCUAGUAGGUGGGGUAACGGCUCACCUAGGCGACGAUCCCUAGCUGGUCUGAGAGGAUGACCAGCCACACUGGAACUGAGACACGGUCCAGACUCCUACGGGAGGCAGCAGUGGGGAAUAUUGCACAAUG
rnacentral:rRNA from 1 species